rnacentral:rRNA from 1 species
GACGAACGCUGGCGGCGUGCCUAAUACAUGCAAGUCGAACGCAGUGGGGACGGGUGAGUAACACGUGGGUAACCUCCCAUCAGAGGGGAUACCACUUGGAAACAGGUGCUAAACCGAUACUGAUGGAUGGACCCGCGGUGCAUUAGCUAGUUGGUGAGGUAACGGCUCACCAGGGCCACGAUGCAUACGCGACAUGGAAGGGAGCUCAGCCACACUAGGGCUGGGACACGGCCCAGGUACCUACGGGAGGCAGCAGUAGUGAAUCUUCGGCAAUGGACGAAAAGCAGAACGAGCAACGCCGCGUGAGUGAAGAAGGUUUUCGGAUCGUAAAACUCUGUUAUUAGAAAAGCGGUAUCUAACCAGAAAGCCACGGCUAACUACGGGCCAGCAGCCGCGGUAAUAC